GACAGAGGGUGCAAACGUUGUUCGGAAUUACUGGGCGUAAGGCGCGUGUAGGCGGCUAAGUAAGUCGGGCGUGAAAUCCCACGGCUCAACCGUGGAAGUGCACUCGAAACUGCAUAGCUAGAGUCCUGGAGAGGAAGGUGGAAUGCUUGGUGUAGAGGUGAAAUUCGUAGAUAUCAAGCGGAACACCGGUGGCGAAGGCGGCCUUCUGGACAAGUGGACUGGACGCUGAGACGCGAAA
rnacentral:rRNA from 1 species